rnacentral:rRNA from 1 species
ACAAGUCGAGCAGGUAGGAAACUAGAGCAUAGUGAUCCGGUGUUUCCGUAUGGAAGGGACAUCGCUCAAAGGAUAAAAGGUACUCCGGGGAUAACAGGCUGAUCGCUCCCAAGAGCUCAAAUCGACGGAGCGGUUUGGCACCUCGCUGUCGGCUCGUCACAUCCUGGGGCUGGAGCAGGUCCCAAGGGUAUGGCUGUUCGCCAUUUAAAGCGGUACGUGAGUUGGGUUAAUAACGUCGUGAGACAGUUAGGUCCCUAUCUACUGUGGGCGUUGGAUAUUUGAGCGAACUUGACCUUAGUACGAGAGGACCGGGUCGAACGAACCUCUGGUGUACCUGUUGUCGCGCCAGCGGCACCGCAGGGUAGCUAUGUUCGGAACAGAUAACCGCUGAAAGCAUCUAAGCGGGAAGCUGGUCGCAAGAUAAGAUAUCCCCAUGAGUUCAGUUCUAGACUAGGACAUUGAUAGGCUGUGUGUGUAAGUCCGGUGACGGAUUUAGCUUAACAGUACUAAUCGAACCAUUGACUUUUUAUC